rnacentral:rRNA from 1 species
AAGAAAUGGCUAGUCAUUUGCUAAGACAUGGCCAGACUCAUGAAAAAUUUGCACAACGGGUGAAAACGUGACAACACAAUGCCGUGUGGUGAUACAAGCCACGGGUUGUAAACUUAUUUUCUUUGAGAAGAAAUGACAAUAUUUGGAAAAUAAUUACGAGCUAUCUAUGUGCCAACCGCCUGAGUAAGACAUAUGAUGUAAGCAUUUUU